GUCUGUGGAUCUGCACUCGCAUAUAUACCACUAUCCAUCCUCCAGUGCGCCAUUGUCUCUUACAUCGACCCCAUAACUGUCGAUUUGUAAGAAUCCCUGACAAGGAGCUUCUGCUACCCUCCACCGCGACAACAACAUAACAAAAUGGUGAGAAAACUUUAUAAACUUUGAUCCAGAGUCAUGUUAAAGAUACUUUAUUUUAAUCUUUUUCGGGAAUGGGAGCUAGAGGGAUUAUAAUACUGUUAUCUUCACUUUAACGCUCUCCAAUAAGUGCAUUUUUUAAUCAAUGUUGUAAAAAGAGGUGGUUUAUUCAGAGGACAUGUUUGAAUUCAGAAAUAUACAUGUCAUAUCGCGUUGGUGUAAUUGUAAAGAAAGAUAAAUUAAGGAUGAAAACUGACUGCAUCCGGGAAAAAAACUCGGAGUCAGAAAAUCUGGUACCCGGUGUUGUGCUUUAGAAUUCACCCUUGACGUAGAAUGCACCCCCUGACGGUUGCGGUUGAAAGUACAUACUGAGGCGAAAUAAUCCAAGUUUUCUCAAUCGUUGGAUGGAUUCAAAAGCGUGUGCCUUCAAUGAUUUCAUUCAGGCUGUUCAGAUAAGCCGAAAACAAUAGCCCUCUGAUUCGGAGUGUUUGCCGUCCCGUAAAUAUAAUGUUCUCUACCUUGACAGCUUACUGUACAGUUUAUAUACACCUCUAUAAGUGCAUUUCUGAGACACAAAAUAACAUGACGAAAGUUUGCUGCUUCAUUUGACACGUUGUCAUGAUCCAGUAUUCGUGUUUUUUUCAAUAUGAGAUCAUUUUCUUCCACUUUAAGAAGCUAAUGAGAGGAUGGGAUGCUGGGGUGCAUUCUACGGCACUACACCUGCUCUCCGAACUGACACACUUUACGUCAUAUUACGCAGGAAAAUGGCGGACCAAAGUUAAUAUCGAUUUGUCGACCACACAUAGCAUAAUUAUAACAUUAAUGUUUAUCGUGGUGCGAUUUGAAGAAUGGUUCUUAAAGUGAACAUCAGAUCAUCCGAUGGACAAGUGAACGCAGCAUGAAUAAGUGGCGGGCUGAGCGAACAAAAGCUGUUUUCAGCAGGUUGUAAUGUGAACAGAAUGAAUAAUGUCAGCCAGCCGCUAACUCUGCGGCAAAUUCUGCUCUCACUCCGAUGACUAAGCCCUCUUCAUCACUUCUCGUGACAGCGGCUGUCCCCCCUAACUUAAAGUUGAUUCAAUUUACCGGCAGUGAGGAUGAAGAGAAGAGCUUCUCUCACACACUCAUGGAAACUGUACCCGCAGGGAGAAUAGGUGAUCUGCGCUGUAAGCACGACUUCAACAUUAAAAAUUCAUGUCAGUAAUGGACACCUCUUAGACGUCCCCUGAGAGAGAACCGUGUGGGAUGCGGGGCUAACAGAAGGCAUUAUCCUCUGCUGUCAUUUGAUGCUCGUAGAAACCCGAAUAAACCUCUCCAUUAACGGUCCAACCUGUUAAAACACAUUCAUAUAAAUGUUAUUCGGUGCCAAAUUGAAUGGCCUUGUAGCAUAGCAACGAAGUGAAAAGUUGACAACCGUUAGUCCAUCUCUGACUGAUGAUUGGUUGCGGUAUCCGUCAAUCAAAGCUGCAACUCCAGGGAUGAGGAGAAUCAGAAUAAGCUUGUUUACUCAAUAGAUGAUCAAGUUACUGCAAUAAAUAUGUCAAACUGUAUAAAGAAGUAAAUAACUUAUAUUAUUCUUUUGUUUCUCCCACAGCGUGAGUGUAUCUCCAUCCAUGUUGGACAGGCCGGCGUCCAGAUCGGCAAUGCCUGCUGGGAGCUUUACUGCCUGGAGCAUGGGAUCCAGCCGGACGGACAGAUGCCCAGUGACAAGACACUGGGAGGAGGAGACGAUUCCUUCAACACCUUCUUCAGUGAGACCGGAGCUGGAAAGCACGUCCCCAGAGCUGUUUUUGUAGAUCUGGAGCCCACUGUGAUCGGUGAGUGUCAUUAGUUUUGUAGAAAUGGGAAUUUGAGGAAGUUAAGAUCAGAGGGUUUACGGUAAGGAACCAUAAUAACCCUGUUGUCAUUCAUGUCUUUUUAGAUGAAGUGCGCACUGGAACCUACCGCCAGCUGUUCCACCCAGAGCAGCUGAUCACUGGAAAGGAGGAUGCUGCCAACAACUAUGCCCGUGGACACUACACCAUCGGCAAAGAGAUCAUUGACCUGGUGCUGGACAGGAUCCGCAAACUGGUAACUUGAAAUCAGAAGUGACAUUCAGUAAGAUUAUAUAACUCACCUUUUAUCUGUGCUCACUAUCUCUCUCUCUCUGUCCUCAGGCUGAUCAGUGCACUGGCCUUCAGGGCUUCCUGGUCUUCCACAGCUUUGGAGGUGGUACCGGCUCUGGUUUCACCUCCCUGCUGAUGGAGCGUCUGUCUGUCGACUACGGCAAGAAGUCCAAGCUGGAGUUCUCCAUCUACCCAGCUCCCCAGGUUUCCACUGCUGUGGUGGAGCCCUACAACUCCAUCCUGACCACUCACACCACCCUGGAGCACUCUGACUGUGCCUUCAUGGUAGACAACGAGGCCAUCUACGAUAUCUGUCGUAGAAACCUCGAUAUUGAGCGUCCCACUUACACUAACCUCAACAGGCUAAUUGGCCAAAUUGUGUCCUCCAUCACUGCGUCCCUGCGUUUUGAUGGUGCCCUCAAUGUUGAUCUGACAGAGUUCCAGACCAACUUGGUGCCAUAUCCCCGUAUCCACUUCCCUCUGGCCACCUAUGCCCCCGUCAUCUCAGCUGAGAAAGCUUACCAUGAGCAGCUCUCUGUGUCAGAAAUCACCAAUGCUUGCUUUGAGCCAGCCAAUCAGAUGGUCAAAUGCGACCCUCGCCAUGGCAAGUACAUGGCCUGCUGCCUUUUGUACCGUGGUGACGUGGUUCCCAAAGACGUAAACGCUGCCAUCGCCACCAUCAAGACCAAGCGCACCAUCCAGUUUGUGGACUGGUGCCCCACUGGUUUUAAGGUGGGCAUCAACUACCAGCCUCCCACUGUGGUUCCUGGUGGUGACCUGGCCAAGGUCCAGAGGGCCGUGUGCAUGCUGAGCAACACCACUGCUAUUGCAGAGGCCUGGGCCCGUCUCGACCACAAGUUUGACCUGAUGUAUGCUAAGCGUGCCUUUGUUCACUGGUACGUGGGUGAGGGUAUGGAAGAGGGUGAGUUCUCCGAGGCCAGAGAGGACAUGGCAGCUUUGGAGAAGGAUUAUGAGGAGGUGGGAGUCGACUCCGUUGACAAUGACGGAGAGGAGGAAGGAGAGGAGUAUUAAAAUAAAAAGGGUUUAGCUGAACAGGAAAAAAUGGUUCAAAAUGUUCUUCAAUGCAUUCCGAACAAAUGUUUGUGUAUUAACUACAAGUUUGGCUGGUCACACUAAAAACUUGUGAAGCUGUUUUGUUUGGAUUUGUUCUAAAUAAAAAUCCUGUUACAAGUUAAAUGGUCUGUUUUGACUUUUUUCCAGAACAUUCAUCAAGAGUCUCACCAUGUGUUUUAAGUUUUUGAGUGAUUCCAUCAAUCCAAGGAGCCGACUUACCAUGCAAAGCUCUUAUUCACAAGCUUGAAUAAAAGAAAACUUGUAAA